CCUUUUAAAAACAAUUUUAUUUUUUAGAUAACUAAAAGUGAUGGCCUUCCAGGUUUCAUAUGUUUAAAAUGUUAUGAGGUAGCUAAUAUUGCUUAUACCUUUAAGCAGCAGUGUGAAAAGUCCGAGCAUUUGUUAAAAUCUGAUGAAACUAUCUUAGAAAAGGUUAAUGCAUUAAAACAACAAGAGGGGCGACUAAACGUCUUCAAAGUGAAGUUUCAAAAGCAGGAUAUUUUUAGUAUUAUACUACGUGAAAAUUUCAUAAAGCCCAUAAAAGUUUCAGCAUUAAAGAAGAAUACCUGUAAAGAUAUUCACUUAAAAAAAAAUAUCACUGUAAAUGAUUCUUUUGAGACAAGUCAUGAUAGUGAUCAGUAUAAUGGGGAAGAUAAUGAUGAAUUCAAGGACUUGACAUGUCGUUUUUGCAAUUUUAAAGCAAAUACUUGGAAAGUACGAUAUAAACAUGAAAUAACCCAUGGGAAAGGAAUUGACUGUUACCUAUGUGGAAAAGAAUUUACGUCGCUCAGAACAAUGACAAAUCAUUUACUUCAUCAUAAACGUAAAGGUGCCUUUCCCUGUUUAACUUGCGGCAAAAAGUUUACCCUCCAAGAAAAUUUAUCAAAACAUAUGAAAAGACAUUUAGGCAUUCGUCCGUACUCCUGCGCUAUUUGUAACAAGUCGUUUACAGAAAGGAGUGAACUGAGAAUACAUUUAGCAAGCCACAGCCAGGAAAAGCGAUUUCUAUGUAAUAUGUGCGGUAAUAAAUAUUCACGAAAGAGACUUUUAACAAUGCAUAUCGAGAAACACCAUCCCGAACCAGGAAAAGCUCUACUCCUUUGUACAUUAUGUGGGAAAG